rnacentral:rRNA from 1 species
GAUGAACGCUGGCGGCGUGCCUAAUACAUGCAAGUCGAGCGAACAGACGAGGAGCUUGCUCCUCUGACGUUAGCGGCGGACGGGUGAGUAACACGUGGAUAACCUACCUAUAAGACGGGGAUAACUUCGGGAAACCGGAGCUAAUAGCGGAGAAUAUAUUGAACCGCAUGGUUCAAUAGUGAAAGACGGUUUUGCUGUCACUUAUAGAUGGAUCCGCGCCGCAUUGGCUAGUCGGUAAGGUAACGGCUUACCAAGGCGACGAUGCGUAGCCGACCUGAUUGGGUGGUCGGCCACACUGGAACUGGGCCGCGGUCCUGGGUCCUGCGGGAGGCAGCAGUAGGGUAUCUUCCGCAGUGGGCGAAAGCCUGACGGAGCAACGCCGCGUGAGUGAUGAAGGUCUUCGGAUCGUAAAACUCUGUUAUUAGGGAAGAACCAAUGUGUAAGUAACUAUGCACGUCUUGACGGUACCUAAUCAGAAAGCCCCGGCUAACUACGUG